CCCUUAGAUGUUCUGGGCCGCACGCGCGCUACAAUGAUGAAUUCAACGAGUUUAUAACCUUGGUUGAAAAGCCUGGGUAAUCUUUUGAACUUUCGUCGUGAUGGGGCUAGACCCUUGCAAUUAUUGGUCUCCAACGAGGAAUUCCUAGUAAACGCAAGUCAUCAGCUUGCAUUGAUUACGUCCCUGCCCUUUGUACACACCGCCCGUCGCACCUACCGAUUGAAUGGUCCGGUGAAAUCUUCGGAUUGAGACUUUGAUUUCUUCACGGAAAACGCUGUUUUAAAAGGUUGAUUAAACCUUACCAUUUAGAGGAAGGUGAAGUCGUAACA
rnacentral:rRNA from 1 species